rnacentral:rRNA from 1 species
UACGGAAGGCAGCAGUGGGGAAUAUUGCACAAUGGGCGCAAGCCUGAUGCAGCCAUGCCGCGUGUAUGAAGAAGGCCUUCGGGUUGUAAAGUACUUUCAGUCGUGAGGAAGGUGUUAAGGUUAAUAACCUUAGCAAUUGACGUUAGCGACAGAAGAAGCACCGGCUAACUCCGUGCCAGCAGCCGCGGUAAUACGGAGGGUGCGAGCGUUAAUCGGAAUUACUGGGCGUAAAGGGCACGCAGGCGGUUAAUUAAGUUGGAUGUGAAAUCCCCGGGCUUAACCUGGGAAUGGCAUUCAAGACUGGUUAGCUAGAGUCUUGUAGAGGGGGUAGAAUUCCAUGUGUAGCGGUGAAAUGCGUAGAAUGUGGAGGAAUACCGGUGGCGAAGGCGGCCCCUGGACAAAGACUGACGCUCAUGUGCGAAAGCGUGGGGAGCAAACAGGGAUUAGAUACC